rnacentral:rRNA from 1 species
GACGAACGCUGGCGGCGUGCUUAACACAUGCAAGUCGAACGGAAAGGCCCUGCUUUUGUGGGGUGCUCGAGUGGCGAACGGGUGAGUAACACGUGAGUAACCUGCCCUUGACUUUGGGAUAACUUCAGGAAACUGGGGCUAAUACCGGAUAGGAGCUCCUGCUGCAUGGUGGGGGUUGGAAAGUUUCGGCGGUUGGGGAUGGACUCGCGGCUUAUCAGCUUGUUGGUGGGGUAGUGGCUUACCAAGGCUUUGACGGGUCGCCGGCCUGAGAGGGUGACCGGCCACAUUGGGGCUGAGGUACGGCCCAGACUCCUACGGGAGGCAGCAGUGGGGAAUAUUGCAGAAUGGGCGGAAGCCUGAUGCAGCAACGCCGCGUGCGGGAUGACAGCCUUCGGGUUGUAAACCGCUUUCGCCUGUGACGAAGCGUGAGUGACGGUAAUGGGUAAAGAAGCACCGGCUAACUACGUG